GAGGGUAUAGCUUGGUAGUAGAGUCCCUGCUUAGCAUGCAGGGGGUCCUGGGUUCAACCCUAGUACCUCCA
rnacentral:tRNA from 1 species